CUCCACUGUGACCUCACCGUCCUUCUCAUCCUGCAGAGUUAAGGGGACAGAGGCACCCAGAGCUAGACCAUGCCCACUCCUUUCCCUGCUCUAAGAGUAAGAAUCCCUGUACUUAGUGGAAGGAUGGAGGGUGAGAAAAGUUUAAAAUUGGAUUGAAUAAGUUUUAAUACUUUGAAGAAGUGUCUUCAAAGCCCGCAGGAUUUAGAUCGACCUUCAGAUUGAUCCGGUUGGGAACCCUUCCCCGCGGUCCUCCUAUCCACUGCGCAGCGAAUGGGCACCACCCCUGGCCUCUUUGCUGCUGCUCUGUUUUUUGGGUUGCUGCCCCAGGAGCAUCGUCUUGACGCUUAGCCUGCAAGGCGUCAGGCGAGUACAGACCACAAGGUGGCAGCAGAGGACUAGCCUGGUAGAGUCCACUUGCUAUCACAGUCGGGAGGACCCUUGGGGAUGGGGAGAUGGCGUUUCCUUACCAGGAGGGCAGGUUGGAAGGGAAAGAGAGUGAGCCAGCAUUUUAGAGGGUUGGGAGAUAGUCCUAACAGAUACAGAAAGAUUCCAGGAGGGG
rnacentral:lncRNA from 1 species